rnacentral:rRNA from 1 species
AACGAACGCUGGCGGUGCGUCUUAAGCAUGCAAGUCGAACGGUAACGGGCCUUCGGGUGCCGACGAGUGGCGAACGGGUGAGUAACACGUAGGUGAUCUGCCUUUGGGUUGGGGACAGCCUGUGGAAACACAGGGUAAUACCGAAUGAUGUCGUAGUACUGUGGUGCAACGAUUAAAGGGGCUAUGGCCCCGCCUGAAGAUGAGCCUGCGGCUGAUUAGCUAGUUGGUGAGGUAAAGGCUCACCAAGGCGACGAUCAGUAACCGGCCUGAGAGGGUGGCCGGUCACACUGGGACUGAGAUACGGCCCAGACUCCUACGGGAGGCAGCAGCUAAGAAUCUUCCGCAAUGGACGAAAGUCUGACGGAGCGACACCGCGUGAGUGAUGAAGGCGGAAACGUUGUAAAGCUCUUUUAUGGAUGAGGAAUAAGCUUGGAAGGGAAUGACCGAGUGAUGACGGUAGUCCAUGAAUAAGGGACGGCUAACUACGUGCCAGCCGCCGCGGUAA